rnacentral:rRNA from 1 species
UACGGAGGGGGCUAGCGUUGUUCGGAAUUACUGGGCGUAAAGCGCACGUAGGCGGCUUUGUAAGUUAGAGGUGAAAGCCCAGGGCUCAACCCUGGAAUUGCCUUUAAGACUGCAUCGCUUGAAUCAUGGAGAGGUGAGUGGAAUUCCGAGUGUAGAGGUGAAAUUCGUAGAUAUUCGGAAGAACACCAGUGGCGAAGGCGACUCACUGGACAUGUAUUGACGCUGAGGUGGCGAAAGCGUGGGGAG